AGGAAACUGAAGAAGGUCAAUCUAGAAUGAUACUUGCUGGAUGGAUUGAAAAAGUGAAGCUUUAGCAGCAAGUAGAAAAACUGAAGCAUCAGUUGCAGUAACUCAUCCAUUGAGUGAAAAGGUUCUUCCCAUGUCCCUACUCUCAGAAAUGCAUUCUGAAAUUUCGAAGAAACAAGACAUUACACAAGUACAUGGCUUCACUACCAAGGGGAAGGGCAAAAGACCAUCUUUGAUUUAAUUCCAGGCUUCAGUGUCUAAUUCUGUGGCAAAGAUAGCUCAUGAAUUCUUUGUUCCUCUGCCAAGCGCAACAGGGAUAAGUAGCCUUGCUCUGGGAAUAUGAGUUUGAUGAUUGGGUUGCAUGAACCCUGGAAGCCUGGAAUAUUCAUCUAUUUUCACAUUCUUCUGUCCCUCCUGACUGCAGCACUCCCCAAACCUACAUGGAAGAGCUAAAAUCAAUUCUGGUAAAUCUCAUCAACUUCUAGGACACUGUGGUAGAUUUCCUUCAGUUUAAUCUCUAGCAUUAACUGGAAGAAACAUUUUCUUACUCAGUCACUACAUUUGUCAAGAAAUAAUGCUAUGGUUGAACACUGCACGAAAUGAUAGAGAUUAACAGUAGCACAAUACUAGACAUUUCUUUUUUGCUAUUCUACUUAAUGCCUGAUGUAACCUCAUGAGGUGGAUGUUGUACUCCUGACUUUAGAGAUAAGAAAACUGAACUUUUGGGAGGCUAAAUAACUUACUUACAGUUACAUAGUCAAGAAAUGGAGAUGGCAAGAGUUCAGGCCUAGGUUUGUCUGAUUGCAAAUACUACAUCCUUUCUAUUGCUUCACUUUGUUUGGCUUUAAAGCUGUUAAAUGAGAAUGACCAUAAUACCCCAGAGAACUUCUGUGAGGAUUAAAUGGAUAUGCAAAAGCUCUCGACAUAAUACCUGGCUCAAGGUAGAGUUUGGCUGAGACAGCCCUUCUUGGAUCCACCAGACAUCUGGGGAGGCAUUCAACUGGGACCUGCAGGAUUCGCUUUCAAUGUGGCUCACCCACAUGGCCAGGAGUGCAGACCAGGACCAGCUGUUUCUCUCCACAUGGGUUUCUUCAAGGACUUCUUGGGCUUCUUCAGAGCAUGCCAGCUGGAUUUCGUGAUAUCAAGAGGAGUGUAGCACACACAUGUUACAGCUGAAAAUGAUGCGCUGUGAUGUCAAGCACUUUCCCAAGGAGAUGCAGCUAAUAGUUGCCAGAGCCAUAAUGAUAUUAGGUGUUGUUCCCUUUGUCUGGGACGCCCUCUCCGUAUGUAUUAGUCUGGAAAACUCCACUUAUCCCAUCAGCCUCAGCUCUCACCUCUUCCGAGACCUUCCCUGACAUCACUAGGCAAAUAUAAAUGAGCCCUCUGACCAUCCCCUUUGUGCAAGACUCAGGUUAAAAAAAUGACCCCAUGAGAGAGUGUUAAUAUUUCUUUCCUCAAUUAGAAUCUUGAAGUCCAGAACUGUGCAUUUCCAUCCUUAUAUCAGAAUGUCUAGCACACAAGAAGCACUGGGAAAUAUGUGUGGAAUAAAUAACUGAGCAUGUUGAUAAAGGAGCAUAUAUUUUUAAUAUCCAUAGAAGUGCAAAUCUUUGCUGGGUAGCGUUGUAGGAAUGUUUUUCCACAUGUCAUGACGACAUUUGUUUUGCAUUUUAGUCCAUUACCAUAAUAAUAACUCUCCAUUUGCAGCUUAUGAAUUUGAAAAUAAAUUGCCUUCCCUAGGAAAUAGGAGAAAAUACUAUUAAAUGGCCAUAAUUGUUAUUACUUUGUCACCUGUAUAUUAUGAAAUCUGAAUAGAAAAAUUCAACUAAAAGAACUGAAAUGCUUAGUUCAUUAUUGAGUAUGCUUUCUUGGUGGGAUAAUAUUUUUACAGAAAAUAUUUUUCUAUUCCAUUAAACUGUAUUUAACAAGAACAUGAAUAUACUGAGGUAGGCUUAAAAAUAUAGCAGAGCAAGUCAAAUGCCAAAAAUUAUCCCAGCUCUGGAACUAAAACUACACAAAGAAGGGAGUAAUGACAUUGGGAACAAGGGCUGGAUGUGGCUUUGAUUGCUCUCUGAUACACAUCAGUGCAUAAAAACAGUCCAGUAUGUUUAGAAUGUCUUCCUUUCCUCCAAAAACUUGGCUAAUUCCCCUUCCACCUAUUCCUCAAGGCACACGUAUUCUGUGAAGCUUUCCUCAUAUUCUCUCGGACAGUACUUCUAUUAUUUUGCAUCUAUCUCAUUUUGCUACAAUAACUUAUAGGUCUAUACUUUGUAUUAACUGAUGAGC
rnacentral:lncRNA from 1 species